rnacentral:miRNA from 1 species
CAUGACAUCUGGAAAUCAGAGCAAUAAUGUAAUGUGUGGCACAUUACAUUAUUGCUCUGAUUCCCAGAUGUCUGUGGCGGCCA